rnacentral:tRNA from 1 species
GUUCCGUAGUGUAGUGGUUAUCACGUUCGCUUAACACGCGAAAGGUCGCCGGUUCGAGCCCGGGCGGAAACA